rnacentral:rRNA from 1 species
UACGUAGGUGGCAAGCGUUGUCCGGAUUUAUUGGGUUUAAAGGGUGCGUAGGCGGUUUUUUAAGUCAGUGCUGAAAUACUCCAGCUUAACUGGAGGGGUGGCAUUGAUACUGGAAGACUUGAGUACAGAUGAGGUAGGCGGAAUUGACGGUGUAGCGGUGAAAUGCAUAGAUAUCGUCAAGAACACCGAUAGCGAAGGCAGCUUACUGGGCUGUAACUGACGCUGAUGCGCGAAAGUGUGGGGAUCAAACAGG